GACGAACGCUGGCGGCGUGCUUAACACAUGCAAGUCGAACGGAAAGGCCCUGCUUUUGUGGGGUGCUCGAGUGGCGAACGGGUGAGUAACACGUGAGUAACCUGCCCUUGACUUUGGGAUAACUUCAGGAAACUGGGGCUAAUACCGGAUAGGAGCUCCUGCUGCAUGGUGGGGGUUGGAAAGUUUCGGCGGUUGGGGAUGGACUCGCGGCUUAUCAGCUUGUUGGUGGGGUAGUGGCUUACCAAGGCUUUGACGGGUAGCCGGCCUGAGAGGGUGACCGGCCACAUUGGGACUGAGAUACGGCCCAGACUCCUCCGGGAGGCAGCAGUGGGGAAUAUUGCACAAUGGGGGGCAGCCUGAUGCAGCAACGCCGCGUGCGGGAUGACGGCCUUCGGGUUGUAAACCGCUUUCGCAUGUGACGAAGCGUGAGUGACGGUAAUGGGUAAAGAAGCACCGGCUAACUACGUG
rnacentral:rRNA from 1 species